UUCUUGACUUACACAUGCAAGUUUCAGCAUUCCAGUGAGAACGCCCUUAUUGCCUUCAUAGGCUUAGGAGUUGGCAUCAGGCACAGAUUCUUGCCCAUAACGCCUAGUCUUACCACACCCUCAAGGGUAUUCAGCAGUGAUAAAGAUUGAAAAUUAGCGUCAGCUAGAUUCAGUUAUAGAAAAUUAGGGCCGGCAAAUGCUGGUGCCAGCCGCCGCGGAUAUACCAAGAUGGCCCAAGUUGAUUACUUAGCGGCGUUAAGCGUGGUUAGAGUUUUUAAAAUAGUAGAAUAAAACCAAUACGUGGCCGUGACAAGCCGCUAUAAGGGAAAAUCAGAGACGAAAGUAAUUCUAUUUAUGCUUGAACACACGACUACUAGGGAACAAACUGGGAUUAGGGACCCCAUUAUGCCUAGUCGUAAAAUAUUAAUUUACACUAAUAAACGCCAGGGAAUUACGAGCUUAGCUUAAAACCCAAAAGACUUGACGGUGUCCAACCCCACUAAAGGAGCCUGUCCUAAAAUCGAUACUCCCCGCUCGACCUCACCAUUUUUUGCUUUGUCAGUUAGUAUACUUCCGUCGCCAGUUUACCACAUGAAUGAACCGUAGUGGGCUUAAUGACAUCUAGUCAGAACGUCAGGUCAAGGUGCAGCUGAAAAAAUGGGCUGAGAUGGGCUACAAUUUCUAUAUUAGAACAUUACGAAUUACUGCAUGAAAAACAGUCAUGAAGGUGGAUCUAGUAGUAAAAAAGAGAAUAGCGUGCCUUUUUUAACACGGGCAAUGGGACGUGUACAAACCGCCCGUCACCCUCUUCAAAAUUCUCACAGUAGUUUAUAACACCAACUUUAACCUUUAGAAGAGGCAAGUCGUAACACGGUAAGUGCAUUGGAAAAUGCACUUGGAUCAUCAAAAUGUAGCUUAAAUAAAGCCUCUCGCUUACACCAAGAAGAUGUCUGCUAAUCCAGAUCAUUUUGAGCUAAAAAUCUAGCCUAUAAAUUUUUUAUACCUUCCAUCUUCUUAAUCAAAAUAAAUCAUUUUAUUAUUUUAGUAAAGGCGAUUAAAAAAAUUCUUAGAGCCUCAACUUUAGUACCGCAAGGGAAAGAUGAAAUAUUAAUGAAACACUCAAGCACAAAACAGUAGAGUUUAAAGCUCGUACCUUUUGCAUCAUGGUCUAGCAAGUCCUUAUCAAGCACAAAGACAUUUUAGUUUGACUUCCCGAAACUAGGCGAGCUACUUCAAAACAGCCUUUAGGGCCAACCCGUCUCUGUUGCAAAAGAGUGGGGAGAUUUUCAAGUAGAAGUGAUAAGCCAAUCGAGCCUAGCGAUAGCUGGUUAUUCAAGAAAAGAAUCUUAGUUCUGCUUUAAGCUUCCUCCUGACCCUUAACAAACUAUUAAGCUUAAAAGUUAUUCAAAUAAGGCACAGCUUAUUUGAAAAAGGUUACAACCUAAAUUUUAGGGUAAGUUUAUUUUUACCAACAAAGUUGGCCUAAAAGCAGCCAUCUUUAAGAAAGCGUUAAAGCUCCGUUAUUUACCUUAUUAAAUUCUUAACAGCAUAUCAAACCCAUCAUCAGUAUUGAAUGAUUUCAUAAAUUAUGAAAGCCACCAUGCUAGAACUAGUAACAAGAAAACGAAUUUCUCCAAAGUGUAAGCAAAAACCAAGAUGGACCAUCCAUUGGUAAUCAACGAUCUGAGUAAACUAUAGCAACCAACCAAGAAAACCCUAUAUACUACCCCGUUAGCCUAACACAAGAACACUUAUGGAAAGAUUAAAAGGAGAAGAAGGAACUCGGCAAACUUUAGCCCCGCCUGUUUACCAAAAACAUCGCCUCUUGUUUAAGUAUAAGAGGUCCAGCCUGCCCAGUGACAAUUUAUUCAACGGCCGCGUAAUUUAAAGCGCGCAAAGGUAGCGUAAUCACUUGUUCUUUAAAUGAGGACUAGAAUCAACGGCAUCACGAGGGCUAUACUGUCUCCUUCCCCCAAUCAGUGAAACUAAUCUUCCUGUGAAAAAGCAGGAAUACUCUUAUAAGACGAGAAGACCCCAUGGAGCUUUAAACACAACAGCAUCUUUAAAAUUUUUUAUAUCUACCUUAUUAACCUGAAAGCAUUGUGUGUUAGUUUUAGGUUGGGGCGACCGCGGAGAAUAGUAAAACCUCCAUAACGAAAGGGAAUAAACCCUUACUUAAGAAAAACAUUUCUACAAAUUAUUAAUAUAACGUUUAAUGACCCGAUUAUCGAUUAACGAACCAAGUUACCCUGGGGAUAACAGCGCAAUCCAUUUUGAGAGCUCAUAUUGACAAAUGGGUUUACGACCUCGAUGUUGGAUCAGGGUAUCCCAGUGGUGCAGCCGCUACUAAAGGUUUGUUUGUUCAACAAUUAAAAC
rnacentral:ncRNA from 1 species